GUGAUCGGCUAGGGGUGCCCCUAUAGGGGCUGAGAGCAGGGUAAACCCUGUAACCCUUGGAACCUGAUCCGGUUAGUACCGGCGGAGGGAAGCCCAUGGAGAAAUCC
rfam:Meiothermus ruber DSM 1279 genome.